rnacentral:rRNA from 1 species
CAGCAGCCGCGGUAAUACGUAGGUCCCGAGCGUUGUCCGGAUUUAUUGGGCGUAAAGGGAGCGCAGGCGGUCAGGAAAGUCUGGAGUAAAAGGCUAUGGCUCAACCAUAGUGUGCUCUGGAAACUGUCUGACUUGAGUGCAGAAGGGGAGAGUGGAAUUCCAUGUGUAGCGGUGAAAUGCGUAGAUAUAUGGAGGAACACCAGUGGCGAAAGCGGCUCUCUGGUCUGUCACUGACGCUGAGGCUCGAAAGCGUGGGUAGCGAACAGGAUUAGAUACCCUGGUAGUCCACGCCGUAAACGAUGAGUGCUAGGUGUUAGGCCCUUUCCGGGGCUUAGUGCCGGAGCUAACGCAAUAAGCACUCCGCCUGGGGAGU